UUGUCCUACGGGAGGCAGCAGUCGGGAAUAUUGCACAAUGGAGGAAACUCUGAUGCAGUGACACCGCGUAUAGGAAGAAGGUUAUCGGAUUGUAAACCAUUUUAGACAGGGAAGAAAAAAGACAGUACCUGUAGAAUAAGCUCCGGCUAACUACGUGCCAGCAGCCGCGGUAAUACGUAGGGAGCAAGCGUUAUCCGGAAUUAUUGGGUGUAAAGGGUGCGUAGACGGGACAGCAAGUUAGUUGUGAAAGCCCUCGGCUUAACUGAGGAACUGCAACUAAAACUAUUGUUCUUGCGUGCAGGAGG
rnacentral:rRNA from 1 species